rnacentral:rRNA from 1 species
AACGUAGGUGGCGAGCGUUAUCCGGAUUUACUGGGCGUAAAGCGCGUGCAGGCGGUCUGAUAAGUCGGGCGUGAAAUCUCUCGGCUCAACCGAGAGGGGUCGUCCGAUACUGUCGGACUUGAGGGCAGUAGAGGAAGGUGGAAUUCCCGGUGUAGUGGUGAAAUGCGUAGAGAUCGGGAGGAACACCAGUGGCGAAGGCGGCCUUCUGGGCUGCCCCUGACGCUCAGACGCGAAAGCUAGGGGAG